AGAGUUUGAUCCUGGCUCAGGACGAACGCUGGCGGCGUGCUUAACACAUGCAAGUCGAGCGAGGCCCUCCUUCGGGGGGUGCCCUAGCGGCGAACGGGUGAGUAACACGUGGGCAACCUGCCCUCAGCUCUGGGAUAACUCCAAGAAAUUGGUGCUAAUACCGGAUGUGACCGCUGACCGCAUGGUCUGGUGGUGGAAAGAUUCAUCGGCUGAGGAUGGGCCCGCGGCCUAUCAGCUUGUUGGUGGGGUGAUGGCCUACCAAGGCGACGACGGGUAGCCGGCCUGAGAGGGUGACCGGCCACACUGGGACUGAGACACGGCCCAGACUCCUACGGGAGGCAGCAGUGGGGAAUAUUGCGCAAUGGGCGAAAGCCUGACGCAGCGACGCCGCGUGAGGGAUGACGGCCUUCGGGUUGUAAACCUCUUUCAGUAGGGACGAAGCGCAAGUGACGGUACCUACAGAAGAAGCACCGGCCAACUACGUGCCAGCAGCCGCGGUAAUACGUAGGGUGCAAGCGUUGUCCGGAAUUAUUGGGCGUAAAGAGCUCGUAGGCGGUCUGUCACGUCGGCUGUGAAAACCCGAGGCUCAACCUCGGGCCUGCAGUCGAUACGGGCAAACUAGAGUACUGCAGGGGAGACUGGAAUUCCUGGUGUAGCGGUGAAAUGCGCAGAUAUCAGGAGGAACACCGGUGGCGAAGGCGGGUCUCUGGGCAGUAACUGACGCUGAGGAGCGAAAGCGUGGGGAGCGAACAGGAUUAGAUACCCUAGUAGUCC
rnacentral:rRNA from 1 species